rnacentral:lncRNA from 1 species
AAUCAUGAUGAACCUAAUCUAAUUAUGUUCCUCUGGCCUCAAUUAAUCCUGAUCAAAUUAGAGAAUUAACUGAGCUAUAAUCCUGAUCAAAUCAAGAUUAACUCUUCCUUAGCGAUUAGGUCAUUUUAUAAUUUAAUCGAAUUUGAUCUAAUUAAAUUCAAUCCAAUUAGACUUGAUCCAGACUUUAAUACUCAAUUAAAUUGAGCUAAUUAGUGAUCUAAUCACUGAUUAAUCCUUCAUUAAUGAUAGAGUCUCAGUUCAGUGAGACUUUUCAUCAGAGUCCCAGUCCAGUGGUACUCUUCAGCAGAGUCUUAGUCCAGUGGGACUCUUUAGAUUAGACAUC